GAUAGUUCCUUGAACCGCAUGGUUCAAGGAUGAAAGACGGUUUCGGCUGUCACUUACAGAUGGACCCGCGGCGCAUUAGCUAGUUGGUGAGGUAACGGCUCACCAAGGCGACGAUGCGUAGCCGACCUGAGAGGGUGAUCGGCCACACUGGGACUGAGACACGGCCCAGACUCCUACGGGAGGCAGCAGUAGGGAAUCUUCCGCAAUGGACGAAAGUCUGACGGAGCAACGCCGCGUGAGUGAUGAAGGUUUUCGGAUCGUAAAGCUCUGUUGUUAGGGAAGAACAAGUGCAAGAGUAACUGCUUGCACCUUGACGGUACCUAACCAGAAAGCCACGGCUAACUACGUGCCAGCAGCCGCGGUAAUACGUAGGUGGCAAGCGUUGUCCGGAAUUAUUGGGCGUAAAGGGCUCGCAGGCGGUUUCUUAAGUCUGAUGUGAAAGCCCCCGGCUCAACCGGGGAGGGUCAUUGGAAACUGGGAAACUUGAGUGCAGAAGAGGAGAGUGGAAUUCCACGUGUAGCGGUGAAAUGCGUAGAGAUGUGGAGGAACACCAGUGGCGAAGGCGACUCUCUGGUCUGUAACUGACGCUGAGGAGCGAAAGCGUGGGGAGCGAACAGGAUUAGAUACCCUGGUAGUCCACGCCGUAAACGAUGAGUGCUAAGUGUUAGGGGGUUUCCGCCCCUUAGUGCUGCAGCUAACGCAUUAAGCACUCCGCCUGGGGAGUACGGUCGCAAGACUGAAACUCAAAGGAAUUGACGGGGGCCCGCACAAGCGGUGGAGCAUGUGGUUUAAUUCGAAGCAACGCGAAGAACCUUACCAGGUCUUGACAUCCUCUGACAACCCUAGAGAUAGGGCUUUCCCUUCGGGGACAGAGUGACAGGUGGUGCAUGGGUUGUCGUCAGCUCGUGUCGUGAGAUGUUGGGUUAAGUCCCGCAACGAGCGCAACCCUUGAUCUUAGUUGCCAGCAUUCAGUUGGGCACUCUAAGGUGACUGCCGGUGACAAACCGGAGGAAGGUGGGGAUGACGUCAAAUCAUCAUGCCCCUUAUGACCUGGGCUACACACGUGCUACAAUGGACAGAACAAAGGGCUGCGAGACCGCAAGGUUUAGCCAAU
rnacentral:rRNA from 1 species